rnacentral:sRNA from 1 species
GCUGGGUGUGGUGGUGCACACCUGUAAUCCCAGCAGUUUGGAGGCUAAGACAAGAGGAUUGUGAGUUCAAAGCCAGCCUCAGCAAUUUAGUGAGGCCCUGAGCAACUCAUCGAGACCCUGUCUCUA